rnacentral:tRNA from 1 species
GAGGGUAUAGCCCAGUGGUAGAGCAUGUGCUUAGCAUACAUGAGGUCCUGGGUUCCAUCCCCAGUGCCUCCA